rnacentral:rRNA from 1 species
UACGGAGGGGACUAGCGUUGUUCGGAAUUACUGGGCGUAAAGCGCGCGUAGGCGGAUUUGCAAGUCGGUGGUGAAAGCCCGAGGCUCAACCUCGGAACUGCCCUCGAUACUGCAAAUCUCGAGUCCGAGAGAGGUGAGUGGAAUUCCUAGUGUAGAGGUGAAAUUCGUAGAUAUUAGGAAGAACACCAGUGGCGAAGGCGGCUCACUGGCUCGGUACUGACGCUGAGGCGCGAAAGCGUGGGGAGCAAACAGG